rnacentral:rRNA from 1 species
GACGAACGCUGGCGGCGUGCUUAACACAUGCAAGUCGAACGGAAAGGCCCUGCUUUUGUGGGGUGCUCGAGUGGCGAACGGGUGAGUAACACGUGAGUAUCCGUCCUUGACUGUGGGAAAAACUUAAGAAACUGGGGACUAUACCCGACAUGAGGCGCUGCCGCAUGGUGGGGGUUGGGAAGUUUCGGCGGUUGGGGAUGGACUUGCGGCUUAUCAGCUUGUUGGUGGGGUAGUGGCUUACCAAGGCUUUGACGGGUAGCCGGCCUGAGAGGGUGACCGGCCACAUUGGGACUGAGAUACGGCCCAGACUCCUACGGGAGGCAGCAGUGGGGAAUAUUGCACAAUGGGCGGAAGCCUGAUGCAGCAACGCCGCGUGCGGGAUGACGGCCUUCGGGUUGUAAACCGCUUUCGCCUGUGACGAAGCGUGAGUGACGGUAAUGGGUAAAGAAGCACCGGCUAACUACGUG